rnacentral:rRNA from 1 species
CCCUUAGAUGUUCUGGGCUGCACGCGCGCUACACUGAUGCGCUCAACGAGUUUACGAACUUGCCCGGAAGGGUUGGUUAAUCUUUUUAAAACGCAUCGUGAUGGGGAUAGAUUAUUGCAAUUAUUAAUCUUCAACGAGGAAUGCCUAGUAAGCGCAAGUCAUCAGCUUGCGUUGAUUACGUCCCUGCCCUUUGUACACACCGCCCGUCGCUCCUACCGAUUGAAUGGUCCGGUGAAGCGUUCGGACCGUGGCCUUUGGACGGUUCGCCGUCUGUUGGCUGCGGGAAGUUCGUUAAACCUUAUCAUUUAGAGGAAGGAGAAGUCGUAACA